GGCAGCUUGGGCUGUAAGAGGCUGCCUCAGACCAGUCAAGGUACGGAAAGUUUUGCCUUUCCUUUGCAGAGCUUCACCUCUGUUGGUGUGUUGAAAACCCUCCAAGGCUUCGGCUUGUGUUUGCCUUCUGCAGAAUGCUGCUGGAAUUUUAGGACAUUUUACAUCAGUGCAUCUAUCACUGAGGCAGGAGGAGUGCUGAGGGUGCCUGGAAUACUCGUGUUGCUGUGGGGACGAGGACACAGAAGGAGCCACCUCAUUCCCACAAGGAAGCUAAUGUGUACAAUCACAGAUUAUUGGAGACCAUUUGCUGUAUUCUCAUAUGUAAUGUUUAACAGGAGGACUCAAGGGCAGCACGUUAGAUAAAGAGACCUGCAAGCUGUCAAUAACUUGUGAAAAUGAUUCCUCAUUUCUGAGAUACCUGCCAGGUAAUGGGAGAUUUAGCAAGAAUUUCUAAGUUCCUCAGACAAUUAGAAAAUAACCCAAGCCCCUUCUGCAAUAGUGAGUAUAGAUAUUUAUUUCUCAGCUUGGAUUUACUGAUUGACUGAGCCAUUCUGACUGUGCUACAAUGACACUUUUAGAAGCUGGGAUAUUUGUAGGGAAUCAGUGAGCAGAAGGCUGAAGUGCACUGAACUUAGUGCUGAUACACUGCCCGCAGUCUGUGAGCAGACACAGCACAAAACCCAACACUUUGGAACUUCUCUUCACAUCUGGCAGCUCAACCAGAUUUAUAUUUGCUUCACUCUUGGUGAAAAAGUAAAAAAAGCAAUGAAAUAUUUGUUACCUUAGUGUCUGUCUGUAAAAAUUCAUCCUGGGUGAUAAAUAAUUCAUUGCAUUUACUGUUUUUUUCCCAGCACUGUUACACUGUGCCUGAGUUAAGAGGUGCUUCCUGUCACAGCUCCUAAACUGUUUUUGGGGAGGUUCUCUGUUUCAGGCAGGGUUUGUGGUUGAGUGGAGCCCUGGCCAGUGUCAGGUGGGUCAGCUCCUGUCAGGGCUGCUGCAUCCUUGCCCAGCCAGCAGGUCACUGAGGGGUUACUGAUUCACCAUCUGUUGGCUCUUGGAAUGGGAAUGAUUGAUGGCAGGAGCCCAAAUGAUGAAUAAAUGCUCAGCCCUGGCUUGGGAUAAACA
rnacentral:lncRNA from 1 species